rnacentral:rRNA from 1 species
GAUGAACGCUGGCGGCGUGCCUAAUACAUGCAAGUCGAGCGAACGGACGAGAAGCUUGCUUCUCUGAUGUUAGCGGCGGACGGGUGAGUAACACGUGGAUAACCUACCUAUAAGACUGGGAUAACUUCGGGAAACCGGAGCUAAUACCGGAUAAUAUUUUGAACCGCAUGGUUCAAAAGUGAAAGACGGUCUUGCCGUCACUUAUAGAUGGAUCCGCGCUGCAUUAGCUAGUUGGUAAGGUAACGGCUUACCAAGGCAACGAUGCAUAGCCGACCUGAGAGGGUGAUCGGCCACACUGGAACUGAGACACGGUCCAGACUCCUACGGGAGGCAGCAGUAGGGAAUCUUCCGCAAUGGGCGAAAGCCUGACGGAGCAACGCCGCGUGAGUGAUGAAGGUCCUCGGAUCGUAAAACUCUGUUAUUAGGGAAGAACAUAUGUGUAAGUAACUGUGCACAUCUUGACGGUACCUAAUCAGAAAGCCACGGCUAACUACGUG